rnacentral:rRNA from 1 species
UACAGAGGGUGCAAGCGUUAAUCGGAAUUACUGGGCGUAAAGCGCGCGUAGGUGGUUGUGUAAGUUGGAUGUGAAAGCCCGGCGUUACUAGGACGUAGCAUUCAAACUAGCACGGCUAGAGUACGGAGAGGGGUAGGAAUUCCAGGUGUAGCGGUGAAAUAGCGUAGAGAUCUGGAGGAAUACCGAUGGCGAAGGCAGCCCCCGUC